rnacentral:rRNA from 1 species
AGAGUUUGAUCAUGGCUCAGGACGAACGCUGACGGUGUGCUUUAGACAUGCAAGUCGAACGAGAAAGCCCUUCGGGGUGAGUACAGUGGCGAACGGGUGAGUAACACGUGGGUAACCUGCCCCUCGCAGGGGGACAACCGGGGGAAACCCCGGCUAAUACCCCGUACGCUCCGAGGUCCGCAUGGUCCUCGGAGGAAAGGUAGCUUCGGCCAUCCGGCGAGGGAUGGGCCCGCGGUACAUUAGCUAGUUGGUGGGGUAACGGCCUACCAAGGCGACGAUGUAUAGCUGGUCUGAGAGGAUGAUCAGCCACACUGGGACUGAGACACGGCCCAGACUCCUACGGGAGGCAGCAGUCGGGAAUCUUGCGCAAUGGGCGAAAGCCUGACGCAGCAACACCGUGUGGGCGACGAAGGCCUUCGGGUCGUAAAGCCCUGUUGUUGGGGACGAAGGGCGAAGGGUUAAUAGCCCCUAGCCUGACGGUACCCUUCGAGGAAGCCCCGGCUAACUACGUGCCAGCAGCCGCGGUAAUACGUAGGGGGCGAGCGUUGUCCGGAAUUAUUGGGCGUAAAGAGCGUGUAGGCGGUUCGGUAAGUCUGCCGUGAAAACCUGGGGCUCAACCCCGGGCGUGCGGUGGAUACUGCCGGGCUAGAGGAUGGUAGAGGCGAGUGGAAUUCCCGGUGUAGCGGUGAAAUGCGCAGAUAUCGGGAGGAACACCAGUAGCGAAGGCGGCUCGCUGGGCCAUUCCUGACGCUGAGACGCGAAAGCUAGGGGAGCGAACAGGAUUAGAUACCCCUGUAGUCC